rnacentral:rRNA from 1 species
GGACGAACGCUGGCGGCGUGCUUAACACAUGCAAGUCGAACGGAAAGGCCCUGCUUUUGUGGGGUGCUCGAGUGGCGAACGGGUGAGUAACACGUGAGUAACCUGCCCUUGACUUUGGGAUAACUUCAGGAAACUGGGGCUAAUACCGGAUAGGAGCUCCUGCUGCAUGGUGGGGGUUGGAAAGUUUCGGCGGUUGGGGAUGGACUCGCGGCUUAUCAGCUUGUUGGUGGGGUAGUGGCUUACCAAGGCUUUGACGGGUAGCCGGCCUGAGAGGGUGACCGGCCACAUUGGGACUGAGAUACGGCCCAGACUCCUACGGGAGGCAGCAGUGGGGAAUAUUGCACAAUGGGCGGAAGCCUGAUGCAGCAACGCCGCGUGCGGGAUGACGGCCUUCGGGUUGAAAACCGCUUUCGCCUGUGACGAAGCGUGAGUGACGGUAAUGGGUAAAGAAGCACCGGCUAACUACGUG